GCUGGGUGCAGUGGUGCCCACCUGUAAUCUCAGUGGCUCAGGAGGCUGAAACAGGAGGAUCGAGAGUUCCAAGCCAGCCUCAGCAAAAGUGAAGUGCUUAAGCAACUCAGUGACACCCUGUUUCUA
rnacentral:sRNA from 1 species